CUUCUAUUCUGACAACACAUAAACACAUAGACACAUAUUUUUUGUUCUUUUGAUCUUUGCUUUCCCUUUUUUUUCCUCUCUCAAUUUUUGUUCCUUGACUUUCCAUUUCUUUCUUGUUGAUGAAUGAUGGAGAGAUUGCUUACUUUAUUCCAAUAAAUGACGUUCCUCAGAAACCAUGGUGCACUAUCUACAUGGUAAAUGCAUGGUCUACCUCACAGAUGAAGAGAAGGAAGAGAAAAAGUUACACCAGAAACUCCCUUUUCCUGUGGCAUAAAUGGUUUACAGACAGACUUUUCAAUAAUACCAGCUUGAUUAAGUUGAACCGGUAAAUAUAUUUAUAUGGAGUUACACAAACAUUAGACUAAGAAUUACUAAGAAUUGUGGAAUUAAUAAAAACACUAAAAAUACAUUAAUGACAGAUUUGUAGAAAAAAUGAGAAAAAUUAAAUCAUUAGUUGAUUAUAAUGCUUGUAAAUAUGACAUCUUGAAUGAUAAAUGAAUCAUUAAAGAAGUUGCCAGUUUAUUCAAAACACGCGGGCUGAUUAUUAUAAACCAAUCAUGAAUGAGAUUAACCAAAAUAAAGGGUUUGGCUUUUUUAAAAAAGUUUAAUGUAACGGUUUUCUGGUGUUUUUUAGAGUUAUUCAUUGAAUCUGAUUGCUAAUUUAAAAAAAUUGUUCCUAAUGUUCAUGGAGUGAAGUUUCUUUCGUUAAAAUACGCUGCCAAAAGUAACCAUUUCUAACUGCUGAGUCAGGGAAGAAAGACAGACGAUUAGAAGUGUGAAAUCUUUGGACGAUAUGGAUUUAACUCUGUAAAUUGGACUCAUUUACUGACCUAGAAUAGUAUUGUAAACUAUGAAUUUUCACUCAGACAGGAAUUAUUGCUCGGACAAUUUUGGUGAAUACACUUUGAGUAUAAUAAAUCUAAUAUCUUUUUGAUCUUAUUUAUAUCUAAUGAUUCCGCAUAAUCGACUUUUCAUCUUAAUGUUUGGCUGGAAACGAAUUAACUUUUCUCCUCUUCAAUGACCAUUUUUGCUCCAAACGAACUGUCCCAAAGUCUUGAAUGAUUUAAGGAUAAAAUGAGUUUCUUUCCCAAUAUUGUGCUUAUUAUUUCUACAGUUAUAAUGGUUAGUCUUGAUUCCCAUCGGACUACUUUAACAGUUUAACCCUUUGUUUUUGGGUUUCUGGUUAAUAUAGAGAUUGACAUCUGUUUGUUUGGCGUAUUUUACUAUUCUAAGAUCUUACAUCAACCUACAUAACAAGGAAUACGAAGGUUAUAAGGAAUACAACUCUUCUUUAGCUUAAUCUUGAUGGACAGCUUGGAUUGGAUUACAACAAUUAUCCAGUUUUACCAGUGACCAGUUUCAUGACGGAAUUUAUUUACAUUGGAUAAGAAUCAAGUUGAACCUGAUAAUAAACUCGCCUUUCCAUGAAAUAUAUCCCAUACAAGCUCAUUUAACAGGACACAUGAAGAUUUUAUAUUGAGCAAUAUUGAGCUACAUUACCUGUACAUUACCAUGUAGUAAAAAGCCUUACAAUUACAGGAUGAUGUAAAAAUGUUUUACUGUUUUAAUGUAAAACCUGAUCAAUUGUAUGCAUAUCAUUAAAAGACACUAUUGUUAUCCAUGGAACAAUUCCUUUUUUAUAUCCAAUCAAUGAUCAUGUUUUCUUUCUGGAAUGAACGAUUGUCCAUACACAUUUGUCUUGACAAGGAAACAAGGUGGAACAAGAUUGAUCAUUUUCAGGAUAGUUAAGUCGGCAAAUUAAAAAGUAACCAGACCAAAUUGAUAGAUUGGUUAUGGAUGAUUUUAUGGACCAACAUUUUCAAUUUAACUUGAAAACCGAAAUGUUAAUCGUUUUUUUUAAACGACAUUGACAUUUACAAGCUUUCCAAUUUAUUAAUGCAUGUUGAUUCUCAUCUAAAUCAACCAUUAAUAGUUGCUUCAGCUGAUUCCCUAUAAAUAUACCAACAAUCAAUCCCUUUCCCAACAAAACUUAAUAGACUGAAACUAUUUCCUAAUAACUGUAAUUAACCCUAACCUGACUGAUCAAAGAGUCUGAAAUGGAUACAGCAAAGGUUCACAAGAAAGUUAGUUAUCUCUAUCGGUUGGUAUAAAUAUUGCUUUCAUUAAUUGUUCAGUCAACUGUAGUAAUUAAUCUUUACCCUGUUAACUUUUUUUCUUGGAAAAAUAUUUUUCCAACUUGAAACUGAAUCGAUGGAAAGUUGUUAUCAUUAUUUCACUUUUAUUUUUCUCUCCCAACAAAUCUAGUCAGUGUCAUUAGUGUGACAAUUAGAUUCAUUUUCACAACAAUGAAUGUUCUCAUUGAUUCUGUUUCAAUUUCCGUUCACUUGACAAUUUAAUCGACUAGAUAAACGUUGAUGAAUAUGUCUAGUGUUAACUAUUUAAAUUUCAAUUCCCUAUCCAUACCAACCCUUUCCAUGAAAUGAAAACAUUGUCUUUAGUAUAACCAUAAAUAAUCUUAUCGUCAGCUCUAAAUGUUCAAUGUCUAUCACUAAAUAUUUAUGAGUUGACUUAAUUUGUCACUAACUAACUACUAACCUUAACUAUUUUGACAAUGAUAAAAUGAUAUCAAUAGUAGAUUUAUCCUCUAAAUGAAAAUCAAUCCUACCUUGAUAGACAAUAUUUACCUUGAUUUAAUUUAAUAUUUGCUCAGACAGAGUAAACCUUAAAUUCAUAAGGAAUCCGCCUUUACUAAUUAUAUAAUAGCAGAUGUAGAUUCAUUUAACUGAUAUAUAAAUUAUCCCAAGCCUUUUAAUUCAUAAUUAACCACCUUAACAGACUGUUAACAUUUCCCUUGUAAAAAGUAAGGCUGACUUGCUGUUGGCUGAGAACCUUUUCUGAGUGUUGAAUAAACGAAAAGAAAAUUUAAUCUAAAAAUUUGACUCUAAAUCAAGUUAAUUGAAAGUUAAAUUAAAACCCAACUACUAGCUUGAUUAGAGUUACAUUUCAAUUAGAUGAAUCUCUCAAAACACACUCCAUUAUAUUAAUCAUUCAGCAAAUUGAAUGACAUUUCAUUACACCAAAGUAAUGAUUUUUUGCUUUCUCUCAUUUUAACCAUCAACAUAUCAAAUCAAUUUAAUCUAAUUAGCCGACUAAUAAUUGUUGAAUCUCAAAUACAAUCCACUAUCAAUGCAUUAUCAGAGAAAAAUGUUUUCACUUUCGACCCAAAUAAUAACUUUCCGAUUAUCUAAUGUUUUUUUCCUCGCUUUUUUUUCAGAUGAUAUCAGCAUUUGGUUAAAUUGUUUGGGAAGUUACUUUUAAUGGAAACAAAUGUCAAUGGUGGCCACUCAUUAAUAAUCGACUACAAUUAACUGGAAACAGUUUAUUGACCCAUUUCUUUGAAAAUAAUAAUUUUUGACUCGCUGCAGCCAAGAAAUACGCAAGUUCAUCUGAUGAAUGACAUCCUGAACUUUCAAAAUACAAAAUCAACAGAUUCAAGACAGCUCUUUGCCCUGGCACAACCUCAUUUUAAUGGUUCCUUUUGAAGAUGGUUGGAGUAAAGGUUAAUCUAGUAAACUCAUCUGGAAAUCAUAAUUCAUGGGAUUAAUUGGUGUUUAUGCGCAAAAGUGUUGCUAAUAUGAAAUAAGACAUUGAAUUUUGGUUUCAACCUAAUUGGGUUAAGGAAAGCCGGUGUCAACCUGCAAAUCCAUUUACAUAAUACUUUUAUUUUGAAGAAUGGGAUUAACCAUUGACUAAUUCAUCAGAUGGGUUAACUGUAACAAUUUAACUGACAAUGGGUGUGGUCAUCAAUGUGUAUAUAUCUCGAACCGGUAAACAUACAACUCAAGGCAACCGAGACUUGAACAGAUCUGCGUAUUAAAAGGCAAAAAGGAGAGGAAGAAGACAAGAGAUGAAACAUUAUCAUCAUCAUCAUCAUCAUCAUCAUCAACAACAACAACAUCACUUUAUAAAAACAAACAACAACACCGCCAGUAACAUCAAGUAAUUAGAUUGAAUUCA